rnacentral:rRNA from 1 species
AGAACGAACGCUGGCGGCAGGCCUAACACAUGCAAGUCGAACGCCCCGCAAGGGGAGUGGCAGACGGGUGAGUAACGCGUGGGAACGUGCCCUUCGGUUCGGAAUAACUCAGGGAAACUUGAGCUAAUACCGGAUACGUCCGUAAGGAGAAAGAUUUAUCGCCGAAGGAUCGGCCCGCGUCGGAUUAGCUAGUUGGUGAGGUAACGGCCCACCAAGGCGACGAUCCGUAGCUGGUCUGAGAGGAUGAUCAGCCACACUGGGACUGAGACACGGCCAGACUCCGUACGGGAGCAGCAGGUGGGGAAUAGUGGACAAGUGGGCGACAAGCCUGACUCCGAGCCAGUCGCCGCGUGAGUAGAAGGAGGUCCGUUUAGGGUAGUAAGUCUUC